CUGGGACUGAGACACGGCCCAGACUCCUACGGAGGCAGCAGUAGGGAAUCUUCCGCAAGGACGAAAGUCUGACGGAGCAACGCCGCGUGAGUGAUGAAGGUUUUCGGAUCGUAAAGCUCUGUUGUUAGGGAAGAACAAGUGCCGUUCAAAUAGGGCGGCACCUUGACGGUACCUAACCAGAAAGCCACGGCUAACUACGUGCCAGCAGCCGCGGUAAUACGUAGGUGGCAAGCGUUGUCCGGAAUUAUUGGGCGUAAAGGGCUCGCAGGCGGUUUCUUAAGUCUGAUGUGAAAGCCCCCGGCUCAACCGGGGAGGGUCAUUGGAAACUGGGGAACUUGAGUGCAGAAGAGGAGAGUGGAAUUCCACGUGUAGCGGUGAAAUGCGUAGAGAUGUGGAGGAACACCAGUGGCGAAGGCGACUCUCUGGUCUGUAACUGACGCUGAGGAGCGAAAGCGUGGGGAGCGAACAGGAUUAGAUACCCUGGUAGUCCACGCCGUAAACGAUGAGUGCUAAGUGUUAGGGGGUUUCCGCCCCUUAGUGCUGCAGCUAACGCAUUAAGCACUCCGCCUGGGGAGUACGGUCGCAAGACUGAAACUCAAAGGAAUUGACGGGGGCCCGCACAAGCGGUGGAGCAUGUGGUUUAAUUCGAAGCAACGCGAAGAACCUUACCAGGUCUUGACAUCCUCUGACAAUCCUAGAGAUAGGACGUCCCCUUCGGGGGCAGAGUGACAGGUGGUGCAUGGUUGUCGUCAGCUCGUGUCGUGAGAUGUUGGGUUAAGUCCCGCAACGAGCGCAACCCUUGAUCUUAGUUGCCAGCAUUCAGUUGGGCACUCUAAGGUGACUGCCGGUGACAAACCGGAGGAAGGUGGGGAUGACGUCAAAUCAUCAUGCCCCUUAUGACCUGGGCUACACACGUGCUACAAUGGACAGAACAAAGGGCAGCGAAACCGCGAGGUUAAGCCAAUCCCACAAAUCUGUUCUCAGUUCGGAUCGCAGUCUGCAACUCGACUGCGUGAAGCUGGAAUCGCUAGUAAUCGCGGAUCAGCAUGCCGCGGUGAAUACGUUCCCGGGCCUUGUACACACCGCCCGUCACACCACGAGAGUUUGUAACACCCGAAGUCGGUGAGGUAACCUUUAUGAGCCAGCCGCCGAAG
rnacentral:rRNA from 1 species